CCUACGGGGGGGUGCAGUGAGGAAUAUUGGUCAAUGGACGAGAGUCUGAACCAGCCAAGUAGCGUGAAGGAUGACUGCCCUAUGGGUUGUAAACUUCUUUUAUAAAGGAAUAAAACGAGGCACGUGUGCCUUUUUGUAUGUACUUUAUGAAUAAGGAUCGGCUAACUCCGUGCCAGCAGCCGCGGUAAUACGGAGGAUCCGAGCGUUAUCCGGAUUUAUUGGGUUUAAAGGGAGCGUAGAUGGGUUGUUAAGUCAGUUGUGAAAGUUUGCGGCUCAACCGUAAAAUUGCAAUUGAUACUGGCAGUCUUGAGGACAGUUGAGGUAGGCGGAAUUCGUGGUGUAGCGGUGAAAUGCUUAGAUAUCACGAAGAACCCCGAUUGCGAAGGCAGCUUACUAAACUGUGACUGACAUUGAUGCUCGAAAGUGUGGGUAUCAAACAGGAUUAGAUACCCUUGUAGUC
rnacentral:rRNA from 1 species